rnacentral:rRNA from 1 species
GGGUUGUGAGGUUAAGCGACUAAGCGUACACGGUGGAUGCCCUGGCAGUCAGAGGCGAUGAAGGACGUGCUAAUCUGCGAUAAGCGUCGGUAAGGUGAUAUGAACCGUUAUAACCGGCGAUUUCCGAAUGGGGAAACCCAGUGUGUUUCGACACACUAUCAUUAACUGAAUCCAUAGGUUAAUGAGGCGAACCGGGGGAACUGAAACAUCUAAGUACCCCGAGGAAAAGAAAUCAACCGAGAUUCCCCCAGUAGCGGCGAGCGAACGGGGAGCAGCCCAGAGCCUGAAUCAGUGUGUGUGUUAGUGGAAGCGUCUGGAAAGGCGCGCGAUACAGGGUGACAGCCCCGUACACAAAAAUGCACAUGCUGUGAGCUCGAUGAGUAGGGCGGGACACGUGGUAUCCUGUCUGAAUAUGGGGGGACCAUCCUCCAAGGCUAAAUACUCCUGACUGACCGAUAGUGAACCAGUACCGUGAGGGAAAGGCGAAAAGAACCCCGGCGAGGGGAGUGAAAAAGAACCUGAAACCGUGUACGUACAAGCAGUGGGAGCACGCUUAGGCGUGUGACUGCGUACCUUUUGUAUAAUGGGUCAGCGACUUAUAUUCUGUAGCAAGGUUAACCGAAUAGGGGAGCCGAAGGGAAACCGAGUCUUAACUGGGCGUUAAGUUGCAGGGUAUAGACCCGAAACCCGGUGAUCUAGCCAUGGGCAGGUUGAAGGUUGGGUAACACUAACUGGAGGACCGAACCGACUAAUGUUGAAAAAUUAGCGGAUGACUUGUGGCUGGGGGUGAAAGGCCAAUCAAACCGGGAGAUAGCUGGUUCUCCCCGAAAGCUAUUUAGGUAGCGCCUCGUGAAUUCAUCUCCGGGGGUAGAGCACUGUUUCGGCAAGGGGGUCAUCCCGACUUACCAACCCGAUGCAAACUGCGAAUACCGGAGAAUGUUAUCACGGGAGACACACGGCGGGUGCUAACGUCCGUCGUGAAGAGGGAAACAACCCAGACCGCCAGCUAAGGUCCCAAAGUCAUGGUUAAGUGGGAAACGAUGUGGGAAGGCCCAGACAGCCAGGAUGUUGGCUUAGAAGCAGCCAUCAUUUAAAGAAAGCGUAAUAGCUCACUGGUCGAGUCGGCCUGCGCGGAAGAUGUAACGGGGCUAAACCAUGCACCGAAGCUGCGGCAGCGACGCUUAUGCGUUGUUGGGUAGGGGAGCGUUCUGUAAGCCUGUGAAGGUGUACUGUGAGGUAUGCUGGAGGUAUCAGAAGUGCGAAUGCUGACAUAAGUAACGAUAAAGCGGGUGAAAAACCCGCUCGCCGGAAGACCAAGGGUUCCUGUCCAACGUUAAUCGGGGCAGGGUGAGUCGACCCCUAAGGCGAGGCCGAAAGGCGUAGUCGAUGGGAAACAGGUUAAUAUUCCUGUACUUGGUGUUACUGCGAAGGGGGGACGGAGAAGGCUAUGUUGGCCGGGCGACGGUUGUCCCGGUUUAAGCGUGUAGGCUGGUUUUCCAGGCAAAUCCGGAAAAUCAAGGCUGAGGCGUGAUGACGAGGCACUACGGUGCUGAAGCAACAAAUGCCCUGCUUCCAGGAAAAGCCUCUAAGCAUCAGGUAACAUCAAAUCGUACCCCAAACCGACACAGGUGGUCAGGUAGAGAAUACCAAGGCGCUUGAGAGAACUCGGGUGAAGGAACUAGGCAAAAUGGUGCCGUAACUUCGGGAGAAGGCACGCUGAUAUGUAGGUGAAGUCCCUCGCGGAUGGAGCUGAAAUCAGUCGAAGAUACCAGCUGGCUGCAACUGUUUAUUAAAAACACAGCACUGUGCAAACACGAAAGUGGACGUAUACGGUGUGACGCCUGCCCGGUGCCGGAAGGUUAAUUGAUGGGGUUAGCGCAAGCGAAGCUCUUGAUCGAAGCCCCGGUAAACGGCGGCCGUAACUAUAACGGUCCUAAGGUAGCGAAAUUCCUUGUCGGGUAAGUUCCGACCUGCACGAAUGGCGUAAUGAUGGCCAGGCUGUCUCCACCCGAGACUCAGUGAAAUUGAACUCGCUGUGAAGAUGCAGUGUACCCGCGGCAAGACGGAAAGACCCCGUGAACCUUUACUAUAGCUUGACACUGAACAUUGAGCCUUGAUGUGUAGGAUAGGUGGGAGGCUUUGAAGUGUGGACGCCAGUCUGCAUGGAGCCGACCUUGAAAUACCACCCUUUAAUGUUUGAUGUUCUAACGUUGACCCGUAAUCCGGGUUGCGGACAGUGUCUGGUGGGUAGUUUGACUGGGGCGGUCUCCUCCUAAAGAGUAACGGAGGAGCACGAAGGUUGGCUAAUCCUGGUCGGACAUCAGGAGGUUAGUGCAAUGGCAUAAGCCAGCUUGACUGCGAGCGUGACGGCGCGAGCAGGUGCGAAAGCAGGUCAUAGUGAUCCGGUGGUUCUGAAUGGAAGGGCCAUCGCUCAACGGAUAAAAGGUACUCCGGGGAUAACAGGCUGAUACCGCCCAAGAGUUCAUAUCGACGGCGGUGUUUGGCACCUCGAUGUCGGCUCAUCACAUCCUGGGGCUGAAGUAGGUCCCAAGGGUAUGGCUGUUCGCCAUUUAAAGUGGUACGCGAGCUGGGUUUAGAACGUCGUGAGACAGUUCGGUCCCUAUCUGCCGUGGGCGCUGGAGAACUGAGGGGGGCUGCUCCUAGUACGAGAGGACCGGAGUGGACGCAUCACUGGUGUUCGGGUUGUCAUGCCAAUGGCACUGCCCGGUAGCUAAAUGCGGAAGAGAUAAGUGCUGAAAGCAUCUAAGCACGAAACUUGCCCCGAGAUGAGUUCUCCCUGACCCUUUAAGGGUCCUGAAGGAACGUUGAAGACGACGACGUUGAUAGGCCGGGUGUGUAAGCGCAGCGAUGCGUUGAGCUAACCGGUACUAAUGAACCGUGAGGCUUAACCUUACAACGCCGAAG